rnacentral:rRNA from 1 species
GGCGGCUCAUUAAGUCUGGGGUGAAAGCCCGUUGCUCAACAACGGAACUGCCCUGGAAACUGGUGAGCUUGAGUACAGACGAGGGUGGCGGAAUGGAUGCUGUAGCGGUGAAAUGCAUAGAUAGCAUCCAGAACCCCGAUUGCGAAGGCAGCUGACUAGGCUGUUACUGACGCUGAGGCACGAAAGCGUGGGGAGCGAACAGGAUUAGAUACCCUGGUAGU